rnacentral:lncRNA from 1 species
CUUGUGGAGGCGUCCAGGGUCCCUGCGUCUGGGAAGGCAGCAGGCUGAAGCCCCUGGUCUGUGGUGGACUUGGGACCCCACAGACGGUUCCGCAGCAGGUUCAGGCCUGUGCAGGAGAGGGUGCAGCGCGGCAGGCUGGGGUGGGGGUCGGCUGCCAUUGGGGUAGGGAGCUAGGCGACCUUCCGUUACCCCUUUACCAGCUCCCAGCCCCUCCUCGCCAGCUUCCCACCAGAUGCUCCCUCCUUUCCUGUCCUCAGAAGCCUGGUUGCUGCUUGCCCUGUGUGGACUCCCCUGCCUUCUGCUCUCCCGGCACUCUGGGUCUCCGCGAGGGUCUCUCUUUGACCCCACACGUGCAGACUUUGUCUGUGGAUGGCAGUGCACUCCACGAAGGGGUGGAGAGGUGCCGGGGCCUCGGUGCGGGCGAGAGGGCGCAGUGCAGUCCAAGCGGCUGCAGAGGGCUCUAGCGCAGCAAAGCUGGUUGGACCCAAGCUCUGACCCCUCUGCCCUCAAAGCCCGGGUUACCGAGCCCUCAUGAGCACCAAGAACGAAGAGAAGUAAAAAGGGACACUUGUGACCUGCUGGGGGCUGAGCCACCGCUAACCCCAAGAAAAGUCUAGAGAACAAGAAAAGAACCACAGCAAACCUGGGACCCUGCAGGACGAAUCGGGGAGGGAUUCGUGCUUUUUACUUGCAAUAAAAUCUGUAAAGUUCUUGAAUAGGAAACA